GGCUGGUCUGAAGGUAGUGACUUAGCUCACCUGAUUGCUCACAGUUACAGACUGAACUCCUGUCCUACCACCUUCCCCUUCCCACUACAGCACUUCACUAGUCUAUG
rnacentral:Y_RNA from 1 species